GGGGGGGGGGGGGGGGGGGGGGGGGGGGGGGGGGUCGGGCGGAGGGGGCCGGCUGUGGGGGGGUGCUCGAGUGGCGAACGGGUGAGUAACACGUGAGUAACCUGCCCUUGACUUUGGGAUAACUUCAGGAAACUGGGGCUAAUACCGGAUAGGAGCUCCUGCUGCAUGGUGGGGGUUGGAAAGUUUCGGCGGUUGGGGAUGGACUCGCGGCUUAUCAGCUUGUUGGUGGGGUAGUGGCUUACCAAGGCUUUGACGGGUAGCCGGCCUGAGAGGGUGACCGGCCACAUUGGGACUGAGAUACGGCCCAGACUCCUACGGGAGGCAGCAGUGGGGAAUAUUGCACAAUGGGCGGAAGCCUGAUGCAGCAACGCCGCGUGCGGGAUGACGGCCUUCGGGUUGUAAACCGCUUUCGCCUGUGACGAAGCGUGAGUGACGGUAAUGGGUAAAGAAGCACCGGCUAACUACGUG
rnacentral:rRNA from 1 species